UGUCACAACCAGGACUUGAGGACCACAAAAGAUGACAGACCCAAGGAGUACGAGAUCUUUAGUUUAUUUAAAGGGGGCCAGAGCAGGCAGGAUGUUAUGCAGAAUCUUGACACCAGGGGGCGUGGAGACAGACUGGUGGGAGGCCAGGAGUGAGGGGAGAGAAACAGACAGAGCAGAGUCCAGUGUUCAUGGAAGGGAGGGGGACGCCAAUUCCUGAAUGAGGAAGUCCGUGACAGAGAGGAGCAGAGGAGAUGUCUUACGGCUGAGUUUUGAGGCAGAGCUUGGCGAUGACGAACAGGUGGUCCCAGCAACAGGAAAAACCACCACGGAUACUCACCCGGUCGCCCUCCAUCUUCUCAGUUGGCUCGCUCUCGGAUUCUCACUGCCAUCGCUCUCCAGCCAGCCCCACCAUGCCACCCCCAGAAAUCACCAUUCACUUACUUAUAGUGAAUUAAAUCAUUCUAACUUA